rnacentral:rRNA from 1 species
GAUGAACGCUGGCGGCGUGCUUAACACAUGCAAGUCGAACGGAAAGGCCGAAGCUUGCUUCGGUACUCGAGUGGCGAACGGGUGAGUAACACGUGGGUGAUCUGCCCUGUACUUCGGGAUAAGCUUGGGAAACUGGGUCUAAUACCGGAUAUGACGAUCUCUUGGAUGGGGUUGUGGAAAGCUUUUGCGGUAUGGGAUGAGCUCGCGGCCUAUCAGCUUGUUGGUGGGGUAAUGGCCUACCAAGGCGUCGACGGGUAGCCGGCCUGAGAGGGUGUACGGCCACAUUGGGACUGAGAUACGGCCCAGACUCCUACGGGAGGCAGAAGUGGGGAAUAUUGCACAAUGGGCGCAAGCCUGAUGCAGCGACGCCGCGUGGGGGAUGACGGCCUUCGGGUUGUAAACUCCUUUCGCAAUCGACGAAGCCUUUUGGUGACGGUAGGUUGAGAAGAAGCACCGGCUAACUACGUG